CAGUCGCCGCGGUAAUACGAUGGGGGCUAGCGUUGUUCGGAUUUACUGGGCGUAAAGGGCGCGUAGGCGGACUGAUAAGUCAGGGGUGAAAUCCCAAGGCUCAACCUUGGAACUGCCUUUGAUACUGUUUGUCUUGAGUUCGAGAGAGGUAAGUGGAACUGCGAGUGUAGAGGUGAAAUUCGUAGAUAUUCGCAAGAACACCAGUGGCGAAGGCGGCUUACUGGCUCGAUACUGACGCUGAGGCGCGAAAGCGUGGGGAGCAAACAGGAUUAGAUACCCCGGUAGUCCCUGUCUCUUAUAC
rnacentral:rRNA from 1 species